rnacentral:lncRNA from 1 species
AUUCUAUCACCAACUGCUACAUCAUGUAGAAAAUCAACAUCGCUAAAUUGAAAACACGGGUGAUCACUAUCAAGGAUUCCGAAAGUUUCAUUAGUAUUUCUAGGUUGGCUACUACUUUGAACUUGUUUAUCUUUUCUAGGUCGGGGAGCCGCGGGAGGGGUAGUAUUUUGGCGACUGCUUUCACCGGUUUUAGAUUUUCCUUUUCCGAACAUAUUUUUC